GACGAGGGGUGCAAACGUUAUUCGGAAUGAUUGGGCGUAAAGGGUGCGUAGGCGGUUUAUCAAGUCAACUGUUAAAUUUCUCAGCUUAACUGGGAGUAUGCGGUAGAAACUGAUAGACUAGAGGGUGGAAGAGAGAAGUAGAAUUCUCGGAGUAGCGGUAAAAUGCGUAGAUCUCGAGAGGAACACCGAUGGCGGAGGCAGCUUCUUAGGCCAUUUCUGACGCUGAGGCACGAAAGCGUGGGGAGCAAAC
rnacentral:rRNA from 1 species